rnacentral:rRNA from 1 species
GAUGGUCUUGCUAUCACUAAGAGAUGGUCCCGCGGUGUAUUAGUUAGUUGGUGAGGUAAAUGGCUCACCAAGACAAUGAUACAUAGCCGAGUUGAGAGACUGACCGGCCACAAUGGGACUGAGACACGGCCCAUACUCCUACGGGAGGCAGCAGUAGGGAAUCUUCCACAAUGGACGAAAGUCUGAUGGAGCAACGCCGCGUGUGUGAUGAAGGGUUUCGGCUCGUAAAACACUGUUGUAAGAGAAGAAUGACAUUGAGAGUAACUGUUCAAUGUGUGACGGUAUCUUACCAGAAAGGAACGGCUAAAUACGUG